GAAUGCUGUGCAGGAGCGUGGUGCUGCACUUUAAUUCCCUCACCUUGGAGUGGAAAUGGGCUUGAUCUCAGAGCUCCCAUGCAACAGAGGAAAAACCUAUUACAGGAAAGCUAAAAAGAGCAGAGACAGUCUCAGACUUAAGGGGAGAGGCCACUGCUCCACCUGGAUGCAUGCCAUGGAGGGACAUCAUGGGCCAGGAAAGGGUUCUCCUCUCCCAGGACCUUCUCCAGCACUUUGGCCUGGAGAUGAAGUACCCACACGUCAGGAAGGCCUCUAUCUGUGGACAGUGAGGUCUCUGUUUCCAGAAGUUCUGUGAAGAAUACCGUGGUGCACAGGAUCCUGCUCCCUACCAGCAUGGGAGACUUUCAUCUGGAGCACCCAGCCUUGCCCCUGUAGCCCCACUGCAGGCUCCUUGAGAGACUCUUCUUUCUUGCCUCUGCAUCUCCCCAGUGAUCAACCUCAUCUCUCAGUGUAAGUUCAGCUUGCCUCUUCUUCCAGCAAAGCCCACAAUAAAGGAAGCACAAGUAUACA
rnacentral:lncRNA from 1 species